AAGGAUGGAUAAUCAAACAAGGACUGCUAAUUACUUAUUUCUGGUGUUAAAUUCUCCAGCAUCCUUA
rnacentral:tRNA from 1 species